rnacentral:lncRNA from 1 species
UUUCCCUGCCAACGCAGUACAAUAGUUUGAAUCAGGAUCCCGUGGGUGCACUGUCAUCUACUUUUGCCCGGCUACAGUCCUCUAAGCCACUUCGCGAGCUGCGUGAAUCUGCAAAAGCUAUCACGAAACAAAUGCCGGUUCCUGUACAAGAAGUGACGGCAAAGGUCGAUGAGUAUGCUCGUGGCAUGAUAAGUGGAUCUGGAUCAACGCUAUUCGAAGAGUUGGGUCUAUACUACAUUGGAACAGUUGACGGGCAUAAUCUUCAAGACCUCGUGGCCAUUUUAGAAGAAGUGAAGUCGACGCGAAGCGUGGGCCCGGUCCUCAUACAUAUUGUCACAGAGAAGGGUAGAGGGUACUCAUACGCAGAGGCUGCUCAAGAUAAGUACCAUGGAGUAUCUACAUUUGAUGUGGCUUCAGGAAAACAGAAGAAAUCUGCGAGCGGCAUUCCGACAUACACACAAUUUUUUGCCGAUGCUCUCGUAGGUGAAGCUGGUCUUGAUGAGAACGUCGUGGCUGUCCAUGCCGCCAUGGGUGGGGGAACAGGUCUCAAUCACUUUGAAAAGUUUUUUGCAGACCGCACAUUUGAUGUUGGCAUUGCGGAGCAGCACGCCGUAACUUUCUCUGCAGGGCUCGCAGUCGAAGGGCUAAAGCCGGUUUGUGCAGUCUAUUCAACGUUUUUGCAAAGAGGGUUUGAUCAGGUCGUACACGAUGUUGCUUUGCAAAAGUUACCUGUGCGUUUUGCCAUGGAUCGUGCUGGUCUUGUCGGUGAGGAUGGGCCCACUCACGCCGGUGCGUAUGAUGUAACAUUCAUGGCAUGUCUGCCUGAUAUGGUUGUGAUGGCUCCAAUGAAUGAAGCAGAGCUCUGCCACAUGGUUGCGACCUCAAUUUCUGUUGAUGAUCGACCUUCAUGCUUUAGGUAUCCACGCGGCACAGGCGUAGGCCUCGACUUGAUCGGAGAGGGGGUUGAAAUGUUACGGCCAGGAUACAAAGGUGGCAUACUGGAAAUUGGAAAGGGAAGGAUCAUAC